rnacentral:tRNA from 2 species
UGGAAUGUAACUCAGUUGGUUAGAGUGCUGUUCUUAUAAAGCAGUGGUCGUGAGUUCGAGUCUCACCAUUCCGA